rfam:Hymenolepis microstoma genomic scaffold, pathogens_HYM_scaffold_0005
CCAACGGCCCUCUUUAGGGCCACCAGUCAUAGCAAACCUGGUUGUUG